CACCGGAAAAUUCCCAAGAAAUUCGGCCAAAAUGGAACCACGUGAUCCCGACGUCCAAAUCCUUCAAACGAAGUACUCCGAGCCUCCUUAGGACUUCACUAAGCUCACCACAAGCUUAGAAUUUCCUGAAACACAACAUUUUACGUUCGCAUGAACAGUGACAAAAAAUGGAGGUUCGAGUUUCACGUGAUUCCGAAGGUUUCACUUCCUAAAACUAGUACCAAUGAACUCAGAACGUCAAAAGGAUGAAGAUGCAUACCUUGGUUGCCUCGAUCCAUCGAGUUUUUGGAGGAUUUGGGUGUGUGCCGUACGUUUUGGGUGAGAGAGAGUGAGAGAGGGUCGUGAGGGACGAGAGAGAGAGAGCCACGGGUUGGGAGAGAGAGAGAGCAGGAGAGUUGUGAUGUCCCAAAAACAAUCUCCACCAUCCAUUUUCUAAUUCCCUAAUCAACUUAACAAAUAUCAAAUCAAUAAACCAACUCAUCUUAUAAUUUCUUCCAACACAUAUCUAAUAUUAAACCAAAUAAUGUCACACACCCACGAACCUUAAUACCCUUCAAGGGUAAUCCCAUCAUUUCACAUUCCCGUCAAAAGUACCUCCGGGACGGGCUGUGACAGUGAUAAUCGAGUCUAAAACAUCUCACGCUAAAUUUGUAUUAAGCACUUCAAAUUCAAAUUUUGUGCUUUGGCAUUGAUGAACCUUAAUUUGGCAUAAACAACGAACCAAAUAUAAAUUGUUGCUCCCUGCACAACUAUUUAGACAGAAAAAACAUAAAUGAGUCUACAUUUCCCAAGUAUAAAUUAAUUCCCCAGCCAAAUUCAUCUCCCUAUUACUCUCUCUGCAACAGUUUUUCUUCUGCUUUAUACUUACUGUACAUUGCUUCCUUAAAUUUGGAACUUAAUAAAGAAGAUUACUUCAUGAAGAAGAUUACAACUUACUGUACAUUGCUUCUUAAUUAAAUUUGGAAAUUAAUGAACCAAAAGUGUACCCAAAAGAAAAAGAAUAAAGAAUCAA
rnacentral:lncRNA from 1 species